rnacentral:rRNA from 1 species
UACGUAGGGGGCAAGCGUUGUCCGGAAUUAUUGGGCGUAAAGCGCGUGUAGGCGGCCAGAAAAGUCCGCUGUGAAAACUCGAGGCUCAACUUCGAGCUGUCGGUGGAAACUUUCUGGCUAGAGUCCGGAAGAGGAGAAUGGAAUUCCUGGUGUAGCGGUGAAAUGCGCAGAUAUCAGGAAGAACACCAGUGGCGAAGGCGGCUCACUGGACCGGUAUUGACGCUGAGGUGCGAAAGCGUGGGGAGCAAACAGG